rnacentral:rRNA from 1 species
GACGAACGCUGGCGGCGUGCCUAAUACAUGCAAGUCGAGCGGAGUUAUUCCUUCGGGGAUGACUUAGCGGCGGACGGGUGAGUAACACGUAGGCAACCUGCCUGUAAGACUGGGAUAACUACCGGAAACGGUAGCUAAGACCGGAUACACAACUUGGUCGCAUGACUAAGUUGGGAAAAGCGGAGCAAUCUGCUACUUACAGAUGGGCCUGCGGCGCAUUAGCUAGUUGGUGGGGUAACGGCUCACCAAGGCGACGAUGCGUAGCCGACCUGAGAGGGUGAACGGCCACACUGGGACUGAGAAACGGCCCAGACUCCUACGGGAGGCAGCAGUAGGGAAUCUUCCGCAAUGGACGCAAGUCUGACGGAGCAACGCCGCGUGAGUGAUGAAGGUUUUCGGAUCGUAAAGCUCUGUUGCCAGGGAAGAACGCUAUGGAGAGUAACUGCCCUGUAGGUGACGGUACCUGAGAAGAAAGCCCCGGCUAACUACGUGCCAGCCGCCGCAGUAA